UGAAGAAUUGAACUCCUAGCCUUGGUGCCUAAGUUGUUUGCUCGUUGCGUCGUUUACGUCGCACAUCAAUCAAUAAGGUGCCCUGGCCGUGACGCUCCGUCACCAGGGUGCAGGGUAGAAAUGCCCGCAUCUCCCGUAUUUGGAAAGGUGUUAACAAGGUGCCACA
rnacentral:ncRNA from 2 species